rnacentral:rRNA from 1 species
UACAGAAACUACAAAGGAAGUUGACGGGGCCCGGCACAAGCGGUGGAGUAUGUGGUUUAAUUCGAUGCAACGCGAAGAACCUUACCUGGUCUUGACAUCCCGGAGACCCUUAGGAAACUAGGGGUGCUUCCAUCUGGAAGAAUCUGGAGACAGGUGCUGCAUGGCUGUCGUCAGCUCGUGUCGUGAGAUGUUGGGUUAAGUCCCGCAACGAGCGCAACCCUUGCCUUUAGUUGCCAGCAGUUCGGCUGGGCACUCUAAAGGGACUGCCGGUGUUAAACCGGAGGAAGGUGGGGAUGACGUCAAGUCCUCAUGGCCUUUAUGACCAGGGCUACACACGUACUACAAUGGCCGAUACAAAGGGCAGCGACACUGCGAGGUGAGGCCAAUCCCGUAAAAUCGGUCUCAGUCCGGAUUGGAGUCUGCAACUCGACUCCAUGAAGUUGGAAUCGCUAGUAAUCGUGGAUCAGCAUGCCACGGUGAAUACGUUCCCGGGCCUU